AAGAUUAAUUCAAUAGACUUCUAAUCUAUAAAUAAUGAAUAUUCAUUUAAUCUUU
rnacentral:tRNA from 1 species